rnacentral:rRNA from 1 species
CCAGACUCCUACGGGAGGCAGCAGUGGGGAAUAUUGCACAAUGGGGGGAACCCUGAUGCAGCGACGCCGCGUGGGCGAGGAAGUAUUUCGGUAUGUAAAGCCCUAUCGGCAGGGAAGAAGAAAUGACGGUACCUGAAUAAGAAGCACCGGCUAAAUACGUGCCAGCAGCCGCGGUAAUACGUAUGGUGCAAGCGUUAUCCGGAUUUACUGGGCGUAAAGGGAGCGCAGGCGGCGCGCCAAGUCUGAUGUGAGACCCCGGGGCUCAACCCCGGGCAUGCAUUGGAAACUGGCGGGCUGGAGUGCCGGAGAGGUAAGCGGAAUUCCUAGUGUAGCGGUGAAAUGCGUAGAUAUUAGGAGGAACACCAGUGGCGAAGGCGGCCUGCUGGACGGUAACUGACGCUGAGGCUCGAAAGCGUGGGGAGCGAACAGGAUUAGAUACCCCAGUAC